GGCGGACGGGUGAGUAACACGUGGGUAACCUGCCUGUAAGACUGGGAUAACUCCGGGAAACCGGGGCUAAUACCGGAUGCUUGUUUGAACCGCAUGGUUCAAACAUAAAAGGUGGCUUCGGCUACCACUUACAGAUGGACCCGCGGCGCAUUAGCUAGUUGGUGAGGUAAUGGCUCACCAAGGCAACGAUGCGUAGCCGACCUGAGAGGGUGAUCGGCCACACUGGGACUGAGACACGGCCCAGACUCCUACGGGAGGCAGCAGUAGGGAAUCUUCCGCAAUGGACGAAAGUCUGACGGAGCAACGCCGCGUGAGUGAUGAAGGUUUUCGGAUCGUAAAGCUCUGUUGUUAGGGAAGAACAAGUACCGUUCGAAUAGGGCGGUACCUUGACGGUACCUAACCAGAAAGCCACGGCUAACUACGUGCCAGCAGCCGCGGUAAUACGUAGGUGGCAAGCGUUGUCCGGAAUUAUUGGGCGUAAAGGGCUCGCAGGCGGUUUCUUAAGUCUGAUGUGAAAGCCCCCGGCUCAACCGGGGAGGGUCAUUGGAAACUGGGGAACUUGAGUGCAGAAGAGGAGAGUGGAAUUCCACGUGUAGCGGUGAUAUGCGUAGAGAUGUGGAGGAACACCAGUGGCGAAGGCGACUCUCUGGUCUGUAACUGACGCUGAGGAGCGAAAGCGUGGGGAGCGAACAGGAUUAGAUACCCUGGUAGUCCACGCCGUAAACGAUGAGUGCUAAGUGUUAGGGGGUUUCCGCCCCUUAGUGCUGCAGCUAACGCAUUAAGCACUCCGCCUGGGGAGUACGGUCGCAAGACUGAAACUCAAAGGAAUUGACGGGGGCCCGCACAAGCGGUGGAGCAUGUGGUUUAAUUCGAAGCAACGCGAAGAACCUUACCAGGUCUUGACAUCCUCUGACAAUCCUAGAGAUAGGACGUCCCCUUCGGGGGCAGAGUGACAGGUGGUGCAUGGUUGUCGUCAGCUCGUGUCGUGAGAUGUUGGGUUAAGUCCCGCAACGAGCGCAACCCUUGAUCUUAGUUGCCAGCAUUCAGUUGGGCACUCUAAGGUGACUGCCGGUGACAAACCGGAGGAAGGUGGGGAUGACGUCAAAUCAUCAUGCCCCUUAUGACCUGGGCUACACACGUGCUACAAUGGACAGAACAAAGGGCAGCGAAACCGCGAGGUUAAGCCAAUCCCACAAAUCUGUUCUCAGUUCGGAUCGCAGUCUGCAACUCGACUGCGUGAAGCUGGAAUCGCUAGUAAUC
rnacentral:rRNA from 1 species